rnacentral:rRNA from 1 species
AUUGAACGCUGGCGGCAUGCUUUACACAUGCAAGUCGAACGGUAACAGGCCUUCGGGUGCUGACGAGUGGCGAACGGGUGAGUAAUGCAUCGGAACGUACCCAGAGGUGGGGGAUAACGCAGCGAAAGCUGUGCUAAUACCGCAUGUGAUCUGAGGAUGAAAGCGGGGGACCGAGCAGCAAUGUUUGGCCUCGCGCCUUUGGAGCGGCCGAUGUCGGAUUAGCUAGUUGGUGGGGUAAAGGCCUACCAAGGCGACGAUCCGUAGCUGGUCUGAGAGGACGACCAGCCACACUGGGACGGAGACACGGCCCAGACUCCUACGGGAGGCAGCAGUGGGGAAUUUUGGACAAUGGGCGCAAGCCUGAUCCAGCAAUGCCGCGUGCGGGAAGAAGGCCUUCGGGUUGUAAACCGCUUUUGGCAGGAACGAAACGGUGUCCGCUAAUACCGGGCGCUAAUGACGGUACCUGCAGAAUAAGCACCGGCUAACUACGUG